ACCGGCGCACGGGUGAGUAACACGUAUGCAACCUGCCCGUUGCAGGGGAAUAAGCGGAAGAAAUUCCGUCUAAUACCGCAUAAUAUCCUUUGGAGACAUCUCCUGGGGAUUAAAGAUUUAUCGGCAACGGAUGGGCAUGCGGCGCAUUAGCUUGUUGGCGGGGUAACGGCCCACCAAGGCGACGAUGCGUAGGGGUUCUGAGAGGAAGGUCCCCCACACUGGUACUGAGACACGGACCAGACUCCUACGGGAGGCAGCAGUGAGGAAUAUUGGUCAAUGGGCGAGAGCCUGAACCAGCCAAGUCGCGUGAGGGAAGACGGUCCUAUGGAUUGUAAACCUCUUUUGUCGGGGAGCAAUGGAUUCCACGUGUGGGAUCCGGGAGAGUACCCGAAGAAAAAGCAUCGGCUAACUCCGUGCCAGCAGCCGCGGUAAUACGGAGGAUGCGAGCGUUAUCCGGAUUUAUUGGGUUUAAAGGGUGCGUAGGCGGAAGAUUAAGUCAGCGGUAAAAUCGAGGGGCUCAACCCCUUCCCGCCGUUGAAACUGGUUUUCUUGAGUGGAAGAGAAGUAUGCGGAAUGCGUGGUGUAGCGGUGAAAUGCAUAGAUAUCACGCAGAACCCCGAUUGCGAAGGCAGCAUACCGGCUUCCAACUGACGCUGAAGCACGAAAGCGUGGGGAUCGAACAGGAUUAGAUACCCUGGUAGUCCACGCGGUAAACGAUGAACACUAGGUGUCCGGAGCGAUUGGGCUCUGGGUGCCACAGCGAAAGCGUUAAGUGUUCCACCUGGGGAGUACGCCGGCAACGGUGAAACUCAAAGGAAUUGACGGGGGCCCGCACAAGCGGAGGAACAUGUGGUUUAAUUCGAUGAUACGCGAGGAACCUUACCCGGGCUCAAACGCAGUAUGACGGAUUUCCGAAAGGAGAUCUUUCUUCGGACAUACUGCGAGGUGCUGCAUGGUUGUCGUCAGCUCGUGCCGUGAGGUGUCGGCUUAAGUGCCAUAACGAGCGCAACCCCCAUCGCCAGUUGCCAACAGGUAAAGCUGGGAACUCUGGCGAGACUGCCGGCGCAAGCUGUGAGGAAGGCGGGGAUGACGUCAAAUCAGCACGGCCCUUACGUCCGGGGCGACACACGUGUUACAAUGGCAGGUACAGCGGGAAGCCACCGGGCGACCGGGAGCAGAACCCGAAAACCUGUCUCAGUUCGGAUUGGAGUCUGCAACUCGACUCCAUGAAGCUGGAUUCGCUAGUAAUCGCGCAUCAGCCACGGCGCGGUGAAUACGUUCCCGGGCCUUGCACACACCGCCCGUCAAG
rnacentral:rRNA from 1 species